AAUACAAUACCCUUUUAUUACUUGCAAGUCUAUAUUUUAGGGAACCAAGAUUUUCUCAAUACUGUGCAACAAUAUUGUAAAAAAAUCAACAAAAGGGAAUAAACUGGAAAAUGAAGUUAGAAAAGCCUGCAGCUGUCAUCUGUAACACCGAUUUCAAAUUUCUGUGUUCAUCACAAAGCCUCAUUGUUCUUUAGUCUUGGUUUUAUAAGUCAGCAUUACACACUGAAAUCUAACAAACAUCAUACUACCGAAAUCUUCCUUUAUCAGUCAUAUAUAUUGAGGUUCCAUAUAAGAUUGUGCUUGAGAAAGGGGCUGCUAACUAAAGAAAUAACAAUAAGGGGGACAGGACCCUGGGGGGAGGGGGGAUGGUAGAAUUUGAAAAGUGAGGAAGAGAAUCAUGUUUGCUGACCUGUUUAUUUUCAUAUUACACUCUAUACCUGUUUUUCUAAAAAUGACUCAUCACUGCAUGUCAUGAAUGGUACCAUGGAAAAUAUCAAGUCAGUGCCAUGAAAUAAGCGGACAAAAAGCAAAAGCAAAAAAACAAAACAAAACAGGGUUCUUGUGCAACUUUCCUCCCACGACGAUAGCAAACCUUUGGAUUUAAGUAUUGUCUCCAUGGUCCAGUUAAUCUUUUUCGCAUCUGGACUUACACAGGCAAAGGGCUGGAGCCAUCACUGACGCGGUGUGUUCGCACAUGCAAACAGGUUCCUCAAGAACAGGAGGAGGAGGACAGAAGGACUUCCAACUGCCCACGAUCAUGUGGCCUCUGCCACCACCUUCCCCAGAAACUGCUUUCUGAUUCACGGGAAGGAAUGUGCCGUGGUGAACAGGACAUGGGUUUUAUUACUCAGACCGACUUAGGGUCAAAACCAGCAUGUUUAUUAUUAGCAGGGUAACUUUGAGCUGACUCACUUCCGCUUUGUCUAGCCUCUCUUCCCUGCAGCAUGGACAGAGCGAGACCCACCUCAAAGUGUGUCAAGACGCCUUUGCAUCGUAUUUGAAAUGACAUGUCCCUGUCGCCUGGCCUCAGACUCAGCGUUCAAUAACUAGCUUCUGCCCNNNNNNNNNNNNNNNNAAUGCUGGCCAGGCUGCUCCAGCUCCAGGGGAUCAAGUUCCGUCUUGGGAAUGGACUUGCCAGGCAGGGGAUGCAGCCCAUCCUGUUCCUGAGCCACCUGGAGGGGCCCUUUCAGGAACCCAGUCAUGCCUUUCAUCCUAGCCUAUUUGCACCCCACUUCAGUGGUGGUCUGUGAACACACUGGAUCCCAGAGGAGGAAAAACACCAACCAGGGGACAGGGGGAGGGGAAGAGGAGCAGAUUCCUCCAAGGGCCACCACUGCGGGGAAGCAAACUCCUUCUUGAGGAUACCAAUCAUGAGGCCCUGGAGAAUUUUCCUUUUGUUUAAAUCAAAGUCCUUUUGUUAAACCUUUCCUAAGCAUUAAAGGGGGGGGGGCCCUUCUCUCCACAUUUCAAAGCAAGCACUUUACCACUUCAGCUGUACAAAUUAUAUAGGAUUGAAAAUAGUAUAGCUGAAAGGAACGUGGCCUUUGUAAUUAGAGUUACCUCUCUUUCCCCCACCCCCCUCUCAAAGCAAAGGGGAACAAACUGAACUGAAACACAGCUGUUUUAAAAGGUUAAGAGGUUGUCAUCCCCCCUGUGUUCUGUCUUUAGUCUUCCUUUCUUUAUUUCCUAAGGUGCCAAAGAUACGUUUCCCCCUCAAUGUAUAGAAAGCUCUAGCACGCACGGGGCGUGGCCAUGCCAAGGGCCCUCUCAGCAUCAUCCUCUACCCGGGAAGCCAAUCAAGUGACUCACUGAUCCCUUUGCCUUUUUUCUGUAACGUAGGUAAAUGAGCAAGAUGGGAUGCGGGCUACAGGAGGAGAAUUCUGUAAAAAGCAGCAUUCACUUGUAUCCACAGACAGAAAGCUUGGAAUUCAGUGGAAGAGAAACAAGAGGUCUGGUGGAGCGAGAACCAGAGUCAAAAUUGGGAGCUUUUUCAGGACAAAGAUUCUAUUUCCUUCGCCCGGGACAGGGCCUGUGCAACUGGCAUUCGAAAAAUAUUUGGAGAAUUCAUAAAUACAGGGAUGAAAAUGUGACGUCCAUAACAGCCAAUGAAUUGUACCUUAGGAGAAAACCAUUCCAGAUUUUGUAGACAGUAUACAAGUAAACUCAGCUGACAAAAACAGAAUGCUUCAGGGGGAUCCCUCUCAGGUCCCAGAGACGGGGUGUCAGUCUUCAGAGGAAAAGUUAAAUAUUUCAUUAAAAAAAAAAAAGGAGGAAGGUAGUUUCUGAAAACUCAUUUGUGAAUCAAAACCAGAAUAGACCAAAUGACUGAACAUUCAAACAAUAGAGUUAAAAAAAGAAGAGAGUUUGGCAAGUUUUUUUCCCCCUCUCUCUGGUGUGAGAUUUUCAAAGCUACUUCUUCCCGUUAAAAGGAUGGCAGUCAAUGUAUUUAAAGGAUCCAUGUAAACCUGCCUCUUUCCAUUUUCUUGUUCUCAGAGUAUAUCAUCUAUUCUCAUCCCAUUUCACCUCAUCAAGUUGGCAUAGCAUGUAGGUUUGUGCUUUUGUCAUUUUAUCUUUGGAAAAUGUUCUCAACAAUUAAUUCACGUUAAAACUCCACUACUAAUUCAGAGCCUCAAGAUUUUGCAUUGCAAGGUUCUCAUUGGCAUUUGGCUGAAGCCUACCAUUAGCUGGUUACAUUUUUCAAAAAAGGUUUGGGAACUUUGAUCUCAUUUAAGCAUUCUUCAAUUGACUUUACUACCAUCAUUUGCAUCAAAUAAGAGCCUAAUUGAAAGAGGUCUAAGUCUUUAAAGUGAAUCUAGACUAAACUGUAUAAUGCAAAGUCCUAGGGAUUUGAAGUAAAAAGUUGAAAUGCCUGGGCUCAAGUUCUGGUUAUGCUACAUACCAUUUGUAUUGUAAUCUUACACACGCAUUUAAUUUUUCUGAGCACUAGUUUCAUUUUUUAUUAAAAUGGGAAUAGAAAGAAAUACACGCCUAAGAGUUGCUCUGAGGAUUGUAUCAGUUCAAGGCAGUCUAUUUUAUCAACUGCAUGCAAAUUAAAUAGCGUUUUAUCAUCACAGUCAUCAUCAUUAUCGUCACUACCAUCACCUGUACUUAAAAAUAAUUCAAAAGAGAGAGCAUAAGGAAGAACCAAUGGAUCCCUACUCUGUACUCAGCACCACGCUAUAGACUAUGCCACGGCAAGAGUCCUACUAUCCAUUUACGACAGCCAAGACGUGGAAGAACCCAAUGUCCAUCGACAGAUGAAUAAUGACGUGGUCUAUGUAUGCAAUGGAAUAUUACUCAGCCCUGAAAAGAAUGAAAUAAUGCCAUUUGCAGCAACAUGGAUGGACCUAGAGAUGAUCAUAUUAAGUGGCUAGACAGUAUAGUCAGAGACCAGGAUCUUAUGAUACCACUUACAUGUGGAAGCCAAAAAAAAAAAAAAAUGACACAAAUGAACUUCACAAAAUAGAAACAGACUCACAGACAUAGGAAACAAACUUAUGGUUACCAAAAAGGAAAGUGGGGGAGGGAUAAAUUAGGAGUUUGGGAUUAAAAGAUACACGCUGUUAUAUAUAAAAAAGUUAAACAAGGACCUACUGUAUAGCACAGGGAACGCUAUUCAGUACCUUGUAAUAACCUAUAAUGGAAAAGAAUCUGCAAACGAGUAUGUAUGUGUUGUGUGAAUAUAUUUUUCAUAUAUGACUGGAUCUGAAAAAUAUAUAUAUAUUUUUUACUGAAUAUAUCACUGAAUAUGUAUAUAAAUGAACCGCUUUGCUGUGCACCUGAAACCAGCACAACAUGGUAAGUCCACUAAACUUCAAUACAAAGCUGUUGGUUUUGUUGAGACUCCACCUAGCACAUGGAAUACACAGAAAAAUUAGUGUUAUAUUUUUUUAACCAUUUAAUUUAGUGAAUGCCAUCCUAAUAAAAUACUUAUUUCUCCAUUAAUUUGUGUUUUAGUGGAAAUCCAUAAAAUUGAAAAUCUGAAAUUAAUUCAGUUGCAGCCCCAGGGAAACGGGAGUUGGUGAUAAGGGUUGAGGCAAAGAGGUGACAUAGUGUCAUUUUCCCCCAAUGUAUUCUUCUCGAAAAAGUGUAUUUACAGUAAAUUGGCUUUUUGGUGUACAGUUCUACGAGUUUUAACACCUGUGUAGAUUUAUAUAAACACCUUCACCAUCAGGAUACAGACCAGGUCCAGUGCCCCCAAGAUCUCCCUCACACAGCCCUGUAGUUAAACCUUUGCUCCACUCCUAUCCAUGGCAAUCACCAAUCUUUUCUUCAUUCUUACAGGUCUUUUUGCCACUUCCAGAAUGUCAUGUAAAUGGAAUUAUACAGUAUGUAUGUAACUUCUUGAGACUGGCUUCUUUGAUGGCAUAAUGCAUUUGAAUUCUUUUAUCCUGCAUGUAUCAAUAGUUUCUUUUCGUUCUGGGUAAUACUCUAUUGUGUGGAUGUAUGAUAGUCUGAUGUCUGUUAAUUCACCACAUUGAAGGAUUAUCUGGGGUGACUUCUGAUUUUUGGCGAUUAUGAAUAAAGCUUUUCUAAACAAACAAAAAGUUGUUUGUUGGGGGUGAAAAAAGAGCCCUAUUAUUGACCUACACAUUACCAUCUGUUAUAUGGAAAUAAAUUACACUUCUAUCUCUAGAAACUGAGGAACAGAGAGGGUUGUGACAUGGUCAAUGAAUUUAUUAUUCAGGUAUGUUUCAUGAAUUAAAUCGAUAAAUAGUGACUAAGCACUUACUAUGUACCAAACACUGUUUCAGGUGUGAGGAGAGAACCGUGAGCUAAUUUAAGCAGACAAAAAUCUCUGCUCUCAGAGAGCUGACAAUGAACUAGAUACUUGUGAAUUCUCAAUCACUGUUUAGUCCACUCUAUAUUAAGCCACGGUGUGCUAGGGCCUUGUCCUCUGUCUCCCUCACUCUCUCUAGUGGCACAACUUACAGAGAAAAGUAACACUUGGGCAGCAGCAUACCAGCAUCAACAGUCAGCCCCCUUCCAGGGGCUCUGGGGCAUCAGGGGUCAAGGACGUCCAAAGGCUAACACACCAGUAG
rnacentral:lncRNA from 1 species